CGUAGACAUUCGCUAAGAACGAGUUUUACAAAACUUGACCCCUAAGGGGGUAAAACGGGGUUUGGAAGUUUGUAUGAAAGUCCUAUGUUUUUGAAGUAAGAGACUUGAAAUUUAAAAUGUAUGCUCUAUAGAUGGCGAGGAAGUGUCCAAAUAAUACAUCGUAAUCUAUAUAUAUAAAAGAGAAAGGUCACUGAUUGACAUCACGAGAACUCAAAAACCGCUGGA
rnacentral:misc_RNA from 1 species